GGGAAGGUGGCUCAGUGGUAGAGUGCUUGCCUUGCAUGCAAGAGACCCUGGGUUUGAUUCCU
rnacentral:tRNA from 1 species